AUGAAGGGCCUAGACAAGGUGAGAGAGAUGAAGGUGAUAAAGUUUACCAUUACACUAUUAAGCACCUCGAUUCUGUUUUUACUCUUCUUCCCUAAAAAGAGCAUAAACCCCUCUUCUUCUCCACAACCACUGCAGCGAGAUUCCUCUUCCUCCUCCAUGUCCAGGGCGCGAAGCUUUGUUCUGUGGCUUCACGGUCUGGGUGACUCCGGUCCAGCCAACGAACCUAUCAAAACUCUGUUCACUUCUCCCGAAUUCAGAGACACCAAAUGGUCCUUCCCUUCUGCCCCUUCUGCCCCCGUCACUUGCAACUACGGUUCUGUAAUGCCUUCGUGGUUUGACAUUCUCGAGAUUCCUGUCACAGCUGAAUCUCCAAAUGACGAUAGUAGUUUACUUAAAGCUGUUCAAAAUGUGCAUGCUACUAUAGACAGGGAAAUAGCUGCUGGUGUAAACCCCAAAAAUGUAUUUAUCUGUGGAUUCAGUCAAGGAGGUGCCUUAACCUUGGCUAGUGUUCUACUGUACCCUAAAACUUUAGGUGGAGGUGCAAUCUUUAGUGGUUGGGUUCCAUUCAAUUCUUCUAUUACAGAACAAAUUACGCCCGAGGCAAAGCAGGUUCUGGAUUUGGUGCAGUUUGAAUGCAAGAUAAGCACCCUAUUGCUUACAUUAGCAAAUCCUUGAGUCCUAAGCACUAAGCUAUGUCAAUAUACGAGAGGGAGCUUCUAGCCACAGUAUAUGUUGUUCAAAAGUCCGGAGCUUUCCAAUGAUGCUUAAUAAUGCUCAGAUGGAGCUAUUGGAGCAAACCUAACAGUUGGUCUGCUGAUGAUAUGUAUUCAAGUACUUAUUCAGGAGCUUAUGUGGGAUCCUAACAAGCAUCCGAAAUACUCUUGGCAUAGAGGAGAACUUAGAUGCAAAGGCAAAUUAUUUAUCAGUACCAAUUCUGAUCUCAAACUUAUAACAUUGAAAUGGCUGCAUGACUCAUCUGGAGGGAACAUUCUGAUCAAGAUGUCACAAAUGUCAACAUUUGUGGUAUUUGUCUGAGGUGCAAACGUGGUAUUUCUGGAUAUUAGCAUGGAUUUCAUUGAAGGCUUUCCACCUUCACAUGACAAAGUUUUCUAAAUGGGCUCACUUGUCACAUCCUUAUACUGCAUUGUAUGUUGCUCAAUUGCUUUUGAACAAUAUCUUCAAAUUACAUGGUCUCCCUAGCAUCAGGGAUCCUAUCUUAGCGAUGUCUGGGCUAAAGUUUUCCAGGUCCAAGGAGUUUCUUUGAACAAAUCCACUUCAUAUCAUCCACAAAGUGAUGGUCAGACCAAAGUUGUUAACAUACGCUUAGAGACAUCCUCACUGCACGUGUUCAGAGAUAAACCCUCUUCAUGGUCUAGGUGGGCGUCGCUUGCUAAGUGGUGGUACAACACCAACUAUCACUCUGCCCUACACGCUACUCCUUAUGAAGUGGUUAUGGUCAACCACCCGUAUUCAUUUGCCUUACCUUCCUAGCAAAACUUCACAAUCUGGGGUGAAAUUAAGCUUUCUUUGUGAUCGAGUCAAAUCCGAUCCAACUAAAUCUCUGCUUUUGAGUGACAGGUUUGACACCCAUACUAUGGUGCCAUGGAAUGGUUGAUAGAACGGUAUUGUUUGAAGCUGGACAUGCAGGUCCCCCCUUCCUUGAAAAAAAUGGCGUUGGUUGUGAGUUCAAG